rnacentral:rRNA from 1 species
GACGAACGCUGGCGGCGUGCUUAACACAUGCAAGUCGAACGGAAAGGCCCUGCUUUUGUGGGGUGCUCGAGUGGCGAACGGGUGAGUAACACGUGAGUAACCUGCCCUUGACUUUGGGAUAACUUCAGGAAACUGGGGCUAAUACCGGAUAGGAGCUCCUGCUGCAUGGUGGGGGUUGGAAAGUUUCGGCGGUUGGGGAUGGACUCGCGGCUUAUCAGCUUGUUGGUGGGGUAGUGGCUUACCAAGGCUUUGACGGGUAGCCGGCCUGAGAGGGUGACCGGCCACAUGGGGACUGAGAUACGGACCAGAGUCCUACGGGAGGCAGCAGUGGGGAAUAUUGCACAAUGGGAGGAAGCCUGAUGCGGCAACGCCGCGUGCGGGAUGACGGCCUUCGGGUUGUAAACCGCUUUCGCCUGUGACGAAGCGUGAGUGACGGUAAUGGGUAAAGAAGCACCGGCUAACUACGUG